rnacentral:rRNA from 1 species
UACGAGGGGGGCAAGCGUUGUUCGGAAUUACUGGGCGUAAAGGGUUUGUAGGCUGAAAUGUAAGUCAAGUGUGAAAUCCCCGAGCUAAACUUGGGACGUGCAUUUGAAACUGUGUUUCUUGAGUAUCGUAGAGGGUGGUGGAAUUGUAGGUGUAGGAGUGACAUCCGUAGAGAUCUGCAGGAACAUCAGAGGCGAAAGCGACCACCUGGCCGAUAACUGACGCUGAGGAACGAAAGCGUGGGGAGCAAACAGG